GGCUGUCUCUAAUUUUCUUGAAUUUUUUUCGCAAAACUGAAAAACACUACCGGUACCUGCACGUAACCCAAAAAAUCCCAAAUCAGACCUAGGGUCCCUUUCGGCCAAUAUCAGAAUUCCGGUACGGCGGCUCCGCCGUGCUCCGGCGACGGCGCUGCCGCCUGCGGCGGCAAUCUGCCUCGGGUUGGCCGGGGCUGCUGACGCGGCUGUUGACGUGGCACAACUUUUUUAACCCCCUGUUUCUGAUUUAUUUUUUCAAAAACACCAUCGGAAUUCAAAUUUUCACUCUUUUUUUUCAAAAUCAAUUUCAAUUAAAUCCAAAUAAUAUUUUUACCCAAUUUUAUCAUGAUUAUUAUUUUUAUUUUCAUUAAAUUAAAUUAAAUAAAAAUCUGAAAAAUUCAAAUACAAAAAAAAAUAAUAAUAAUAAAAAUAAUAAGAAUAAAAUUAAAAAUACUUGGGUGUUAUACCCAUUCUCACAUCAGUAGGUGACCCCAAUUAAAACAAAAGCAUGCAUACCCAUCCACAUUUGGAGUGGGUUUAAAUCUUUAUCCACGAGUAAGGUUUACCAUGAACCCAUUGAAUGUCAAUCAUACAUGCAAAUCCCUAGACCUGAGUCCUAACUAAAUGAGUUGUUGAUGUCCUAUUAAUAUUUUUAAAUUCUCUUUUUACACACAUUUUUUAAUUAUUCAGAUUUUGUAUAGUUGAUUAUUUAUGUAAAUACUUAAAGUUUCAUUUUCAAAAGAAAUCAAACAAUAGUCAUUAUCUUAAUAAAUUUUUCAUCACUAUUUUCUAAAUUACUUACACAAAUCAUAAUUUUAAUUAUCGUACAUACUAAUUUAUCCUAUCUACAUAUUCGUUACUAAUAUUACAUGUUUUUUUUUUAAAUUUUGAGUACAUAUCGUAUAAACCUAUGAUCGUUUUAACUCAUUCACGCAUUGGCUCAAUUUUAUUCAAAUCUCUUAUCAUUUUCACAUAAUUUCCCAUGUUUUUGUCAUGCAGUUCAUUCACCCUAUAAAAGUGCACAAUACAAACAUAAUUAAAUUCACAUUCAAGGAAAGAUUAAAACAGGCAAACAAAAAUUGAAUAUAGGCAAUAGGAAUGUAAACACAACAAGAACUCUUCGAAAAUCUACGUCAGGGACCCUAUCCGACAGUUUGUACUACCUGCAUAGUGCCCAGGUCUCAUUCCCAUCGGGGUCUCCUCAUUCAUCUGCACCAAACUUCAUUCUUAACACCAAGGUUAAUAAAAACAUCAUCAAUCUUCCAAGGUUUGUUUCAGGUUAAGGGAAACCAUAAGUACCCCUCUCUCUCUCUUCUAGCGGCAGUCCCUCUACAAAACGAGGAGGAGUCGAUUUAGGGUAAGUAUUUAUACCCUAGGCACAGGUCCUUCAAUAUAUAUUUUAAAAGAUCUGGGCUGUUCGAUAAAAGGGGAAUACUUUGGUUUUUUCACGUGGGAAAAUAGUUUCUAGCCAUCCGAUCUUGGCCCUUUAAAUUAUGACCAUUAGAUCUAAGGUUUCAUUAAAGUUAUUUGGAUCUUUUUACACCUUAAACCGUGUGUGUUAGAUCUUACCUAAUGCAAAUCUGAACCGUUUGUUCAUUAUAAGAUCUAGGCCACAUGAUAUGAUUGGGCAGGAGGUGAUCUCUUCCGUUGAUUUAAAAUUCGAACGAGAGUCAGUUUGGACCGUCAGAUCUAUUUAGGCAGGAAGCUUUCCCAAUCGUUGAUAAACUUUUAGGUGGGAAGGAAUCUUAGUCGGGAGCGAUUGGCAAUCAUCCAAUCACACCCUUAGGUGGGAAGAUUCCCUAGUCGUCUGAUUGGGCGGGAAGUCACCACGGUCGUCCGAUCAUUCCUACCAUGCAAAGUGCCAUGCAUACCCCCUAUUUGCGUUUUUAUCACAAGGUGCACGUGAAAUGGCAGAUUAGAUACAUCAUGCUUUGACGUGUCCCAUUUUUAAAAAAAAUUUCAAUUGGGCCCCAUAAUUUUAAGCCCCUUUUCAUUUUGGU
rnacentral:lncRNA from 1 species